CCGGGUAGCUAUGUGGGGAAUAGAUAAGCGCUGAAAGCAUCUAAGUGCGAAACUAGCCCGAAGAUGAAUCUUCCACAUAAGGGUCGUUGUAGACUACGACGUUGAUAGGCUGCAGGUAUACGUGUCGAAAUACACUCAGCUGAGCAGUACUAAUUACCCAACAGCUUGCACAA
rnacentral:rRNA from 1 species